ACUCACCAYAAUCUUAAAAACCAAUUUAAAUAAAAACACUCACAUAUCUAGCUUCCUUACAAACUUAAAUUCAAAAGUACUUAAAAGGAAAACUUCAAUAACUUAAGGUAGUGAUUAAACCACGUACCUUGUGCAUUAUGGUUUUACAAGCACACAAUUAAUAAUGAAAUCCCGAAUAACAGCUUGUGUACUGCCGUMGUAAGCAUACCUCUAAAAGCAUUAAGUMUGCAAUUCCAUACGCGUUAGAAAAUCUCUGGUUCUCAGUAAAACUUACAAAUAAACCACACAGUAAAACUGUAGUGUAAUAUUACAGAGGAUAAGCCCUGUAAUCAUUAGCUAAUAAAAUAUUUAAAUAAUUGGUUAGGCUUAAAAUCAGCCAUCUACAAUACUUUACCGUAAAAUAUAAAUAACAAAAUAAAUUAAAUACCUUAUAUGCUAAAUAAAACUGAGAUUUAAGUAAAACAAUAAAACUUAAUAUAUUAUGUAAAACUAAGUAAUAGAAAAAUUUAAUAAAUUAAUCUAUAAAUAUUUAAUUAAAUUAUUUCACAUAAAUACUYMYWAAGAAACUCGGCNAANAAAA
rnacentral:rRNA from 1 species